CAAAACAAAAAUGGUAAGAUGGUGAUAGUGCUGCAUAUACAAUAUCUAACUUUUACCUAGAAGAUACAGCAUUCAUCUCUCAGCCCCCUCAGAGGAAAAGACGCACAUACCAGGAACAUUCACGUAGCACAUGUAUUGUUAUGCAAAAGAAGACAACACAACAUAACACCUUGAACUCAUCAGUCAAAAGAGUUACUAUUCCACCUGAUCUCUGGUGCUGCCAUCCCUAUAUUCCAGCAGCAAUGGAGCAAUACUACCAUCUCCUUCUAUGAAACAAAACUGAAGGCAAUUUUAUUAACUGGAUUGAGAGAUGGAGGAUAUGGGUCCCCAGUGGCAACAAAGAGUCGUCCAUUAAAACUUCUAAGACUUUGAAAGGUGUGGUGGAGAGUGUGCUUACACUUAACAGUGAUGUGGCAUGAAUUCUUAGAAUACUGCACCAUGAGAGUUAUUGGUUUUUGGCCAUUGCUAGAUACACCCUAAAACACUGAGAGAAAUCUGAAUUCCAAUAUUUGCAUGUAAACCAGGCUAUCCAUGUGCAAAUAUGAGUAUUCAUCAUAUAUUAUUAAUUUCUGAUUGCAUUUUGAAAGUUUCAGUCACUCGGUCAGGGAGAAAAUUCAGUCCUCGGCAGCUGAGGUGGCCACUCACCCAGCAUGAGGAAUGAACAGCACGGAGUGAACAGCUGAAGCAAACAGUUCAACAGUUCACUCUCCACAACAAUUCAUACAAAAUUGUUCAUGUAACAAAGCGUGCCAUAAACAAGCUACUUGCACUCUGCAAGUAGCUCUGAUCUUCACACAUGAGGAGCAACAGUCUUUAUGUCAGACCUAAGACAUUGCUAAAUUAUGAAACAGUGGAGAUGAGGAUUUUAAGUCUAUGCACACUAUCACCCUCCAAGAAUUUAACUUCAGAAGCUUCAGAAAGGGAACCGUGGCUGCUGCAUCCGGACUUGAGAGAGGAAAAUGUCAACAUAUGAGCCAAGUCUAUUCUCAAGGAACUUGAUAUCUCUGCAAAGGAACAACAAGCAGUAAGGGUAGCCAGAAAAACUCAUCUCUGGUCAAGUAGAGAAUGAAACCCAAAGAUCAAGAAUCAGAAUCAACAUAAAGUCAGACCUCUGCUCAGAAGGUGUCAGCAGGGAAUAAACCAAAGUUAACAUAUCACAGUAUUACUGAGAUGGCAAAAGAAAUGUCUACAGUCUCAUCCUCACAGCUAUCAUCCUAUGGUACUUCAAGAUGAAAAACUUAAAAUCUUUCUAGGAAAGGUAACAAAAUGAGCAGAAGAAAUAUGUAAUUUGGUGACUUUACUGCUCCUGCAAAAGAACAGUGUCUCAACAAGUUACUGAUGCCUAUUUACUCAUUUAUUUUCCCUUCUCUCCAGCAGAUUUUAGCAGAAAGCUUCUUUUCUAUAUGUUUUCCAGCCCCACCUGCUCCUCUCCGGGAAGGACUGCAUUUCUGAUUGUGUUUCAAGCUUAUACUGAUGUAAAUAUGAUAGUUGUGUUGCUUAAUACCAGCUUUCAGGAUGAA